rnacentral:misc_RNA from 1 species
AACUUUCAACAACGGAUCUCUUGGCUCUCGCAUCGAUGAAGAACGCAGUGAAAUGCGAUAAGUAAUGUGAAUUGCAGAAUUCAGUGAAUCAUCGAAUCUUUGAACGCACCUUGCGCCCUUUGGCUAUUCUGAAGGGCAUGCCUGUUUGAGCAUCAUAAACAUCUCAACUCUCACGGUUUCCUGUGAUGAGAUUGGACUUUGGGGGUCUUGUUGGCUUGUGUUCAGCUCCCUCAAAUCUAUCAGCUUCCCAGUGUUUGGCAGCAUCACAGGUGUGAUAAAUAUCUACGCUUGUGGUUCUUUGCCAGGUCUGUCCUCUCCUUGCAGAGGGCUCGCUGGAGCUCAUAGAUGUCUCUCCUUGGUGGAGACAGCUGUUUGAAGUUUGGUCUCAAAUCAGGUAGGAUUACCCGCUGAACUUAAGCAUAUCAAUAAGCGGAGGCU